rnacentral:rRNA from 1 species
AACGAACGCUGGCGGCAUGCCUAACACAUGCAAGUCGAACGAGACCUUCGGGUCUAGUGGCGCACGGGUGCGUAACACGUGGGAAUCUGCCCUUUGCUUCGGAAUAACAGUUGGAAAUGACUGCUAAUACCGGAUGAUGUCGAAAGACCAAAGAUUUAUCGGCAAAGGAUGAGCCCGCGUAGGAUUAGGUAGUUGGUGGGGUAAAGGCCUACCAAGCCGACGAUCCUUAGCUGGUCUGAGAGGAUGAUCAGCCACACUGGGACUGAGACACGGCCCAGACUCCUACGGGAGGCAGCAGUGGGGAAUAUUGGACAAUGGGCGAAAGCCUGAUCCAGCAAUGCCGCGUGAGUGAUGAAGGCCUUAGGGUUGUAAAGCUCUUUUACCAGGGAUGAUAAUGACAGUACCUGGAGAAUAAGCUCCGGCUAACUCCGUG